rnacentral:snRNA from 1 species
GAUUUGCUUGUUGAAGCUAGU